AUUGAACGCUGGCGGCAGGCCUAAUACAUGCACGUCGAACGAGUGGCGGACGGGUGAGUAAUGUCUGGGCAACUGCCUGAUGGACGGGGAUAACUACUGGAAAAGGUAGCUAAUACCGCAUAACAUCCAAUGUGCCCAGAUGGGAUUAGCUAGUUGGUGGGGUAACGGCGCACCAAGGCGACGAUCCCUAGCGGGUCUGAGAGGAUGACAAGCCACACUGGAACUGAGACACGGUCCAGACUCCUACGGGAGGCAGCAGUGGGGAAUAUUGCACAAUGGGCGCAAGCCUGAUGCAGCCAUGCCGCGUGUAUGAAGAAGGCCUUCGGGUUGUAAAGUACUUUCAGCGGGGAGGCGUUACCCGCAGAAGAAGCACCGGCUAACUCCGUGCCAGCAGCCGCGGUAAUAC
rnacentral:rRNA from 1 species